rnacentral:rRNA from 1 species
UACGUAGGUGCCAAGCGUUGUCCGGAUUUAUUGGGCGUAAAGAGCUCGUAGGCGGUUGGUCAAGUCGGGUGUGAAAACUCCAGGCUCAACUUGGAGAUGCCACCCGAUACUGCCCGACUAGAGGGAGGUAGGGGAGAUCGGAAUUCCUGGUGUAGCGGUGAAAUGCGCAGAUAUCAGGAGGAACACCGGUGGCGAAGGCGGAUCUCUGGGCCGUACCUGACGCUGAGGCGCGAAAGCUAGGGGAGCAAACAGG